UAAAGCGUGCGCAGGCGGUUUUGUAAGUCUGACGUGAAAUCCCCGGGCUCAACCUGGGAAUUGCGUUGGAGACUGCAAGGCUGGAGUCUGGCAGAGGGGGGUAGAAUUCCACGUGUAGCAGUGAAAUGCGUAGAGAUGUGGAGGAACACCGAUGGCGAAGGCAGCCCCCUGGGUCAAGACUGACGCUCAUGCACGAAAGCGUGGGGAGCAAACAGGAUUAGAUACCCAGU
rnacentral:rRNA from 1 species